rnacentral:lncRNA from 1 species
CGCCUUUCGUUUAAAUCCCGCUUCCUCUUCUCGCCCUUCCUCCGCCCCCUCCCGCUCCCGCUCCCGGAUGCUUGCGCGAGGCGCUGCUCCUCCCCCGGGAAGCGGGUGGCCGGGAGGACGCCGCCGCCCCGCCCGAUGCACCGCGGUCGGGCCCGGGCCUCCCGCGGUGCCCGGCGGAGAAAGCUGGGGGCUCCGCGCCCUCUGGGAGCCUGGCGCAGCCGCCAGCCGGCCUUACAUAGGUAGACUGACCGUCAGAUUCCUUGAGGGACUUUGGAAGGUCGGGAAACAGCAGAGUCCCAGCCCGCCCGCAGCUGCCCUCAGACUGCUCGCUCAGACCAAGUUCUUCCAGAAGCAGCUGGUUACGAGCUUCCUCUGCGCAGGCGCCUAG